UGGCUCUCCCAUCGAUGAAGAACGCAGCGAAAUGCGAUAAGUAAUGUGAAUUGCAGAAUUCAGUGAAUCAUCGAAUCUUUGAACGCACCUUGCACCCUUUGGUAUUCCGAAGGGUAUGCCUGUUUGAGUGUCAUUAAAUUAUCAAGCCAAUGAUGGUUUAACUACUGUCGCCGGUUUGGAUUUGAGGGCUUGUCGGACUCUUAACGAGGUCGACUCCCUUUAAAAGCAUUAGCGGAUUGACCACUUGUGGAUACGCCUCGAUUUGAUAAUAUCUAUGUCGUCGCGCUGAAGCAGUAGUCUGCUCCCAAUCGUCUCUUACGGGACAAGGGCCUACAACCCUUUUACAUUGACAAUUUGACCUCAAAUCAGGUAGGACUACCCGCUGA
rnacentral:misc_RNA from 1 species